CUCUUCUUCUAUGGUGCGUAGCAGUGGUAUAAAUACCGUCGCGCUGCUCAGCACAGUCUCUCAUGUUAUAAUGGCACGGUGGAGGAGUGUUACCAGAACACAGAAGAAUGAGAACUGGCCACAAGAAGGUGGCUGAAUAUGAUUGAACUUACUUCAAACGCAAAAAUCCACAACUACUAUUACUGGCACGUGAUGUCACACAAUAUCCCAGAGUACACUGAACAAAAUGGGCAGUUGUGAGAAAUGCAGCUGUAAAGCGUCUCAGGACCUGUGAUAACUUUUUUUCUCUUUGAUGGAAAUGAGCAAGGAGUUGAAGGGUCCAACGAUGUCAUUGUAGCACAGGAAAGAUGUCGGAGGAGCUUUCAAAUGGCAACUGUUCUUGCUGAGUGUUUCAAUACAUUUUCAUAAUGCUGUAAACAUUUUAAAAUGCAGUGUUUGAGUUAACUAGUGGUUUUGUCUUUCUACGUACACUUGCAUAAUGUGUAUUGAUUGUUUUAAAAACCCCAUCAAAGACUACUUGUUUAAGGGGAAUACUGUUCAUUAUGGAACUCUAGACUAAUGUAAAGUGGUUUUAUCCCAUUUAUUGCGUGUGUGGAGGGUACUGUUCAUACAUGGUAUGAAUGUAACUGUGUCUGUCAUAUGGAUAUUUAAUAUCUAAAAUUUGCAAAUAAAAGUGGAACUUUUA